GACGAACGCUGGCGGCGUGCUUAACACAUGCAAGUCGAGCGGAACGGCCCCUUCGGUGGUACUCGAUCGGCGAACGGGUGUGUAACACGCGAGUAAUCUGCCCCCCCCUCUGUGAUAGCCCCCGGAAACGGUGAUUAAUACAGCAUAUGACCAUACGUCGCAUGGCGUGUGGUGGAAAGUUGUUCGGUGGGGGAUGUGCUCGCGGCCUAUCAGCUUGAUGGUGAGGUAAUGGCUCACCAUGGCUUCGACGGGUAGCCGGCCUGAGAGGGUGACCGGUCACACUGGGACUGAGACACGGCCCAGACUCCUACGGGAGGCAGCAGUGGGGAAUAUUGCACAAUGGGCGGAAGCCUGAUGCAGCAACGCCGCGUGAGGGAUGACGGCCUUCGGGUUGUAAACCUCUUUCAGUAGGGACGAAGCGAAAGUGACGGUAGGUACAGAAGAAGCACCGGCCAACUACGUG
rnacentral:rRNA from 1 species